AUUUAACUUUAUUUUCUUUUUAAUAUCACAAUAAGAGAAAAUUUACCGUUUGUUUUCUUAACUCAUACAUUGUACACAAAUAUAAGUAAUACUAGAAUUUAUCUAGAAACUAGAAAUAAUAUAUAAGGCAAAAGAACAUUUGACGGGUCAGCUAGUAAAAUAUCAAGCUAUUAUAAUAUUGCAAAUCGCUACCGCUUAUGUCAAAUACUAGCCCCCAAGGUAGUCUCGUUAGCAGACCGUCUGCCACUGCCUCGGAAGCCUUUAUUAAGUGAGCCAACAUUAAACGUGCGACAAGACAGUUUGUUUCUCUGUUCCGUGACGCUGAUUGAUACAAAUCGACAUGAAAUUAAUUUUGAUAAUUGUUGCACUUGCGACUGUCUGUGAAGGAAGGGUUAAACGAAGCAGUGAUCAUUUAAUAAGCUCGGUCAACCUCGGUGCGACAGCGACCUUUGGAGAGCAGGGUGUUGCCGACUGUUUAGCUGCGGGUAACCCUUUCUGGGAGUGCUAUACAGAACAGACAGGAUUCAACCCCCAGUGGCGAUGACAAGACUUAGUUUUAGAUGUAAUUAGUAAAUAAAUAGUUAGCUGUUA